rnacentral:rRNA from 1 species
UACAGAGACUGCAAGCGUUAUUCGGAUUCACUGGGCGUAAAGGGAGCGUAGGCGGGUUAUCAAGUUGGAGGUGAAAGCCCAGGGCUCAACCUUGGAAUUGCCUUCAAAACUGAUAACCUAGAGGAUGAUAGAGGUAAGUGGAACUCCGAGUGUAGAGGUGAAAUUCGUAGAUAUUCGGAAGAACACCAGUGGCGAAGGCGACUAACUGGACAGGUAUUGACGCUGAGGUGCGAAAGCGUGGGGAGCAAACAGG